rnacentral:rRNA from 1 species
GAUGAACGCUGGCGGCGUGCCUAAUACAUGCAAGUCGAGCGAACAGACGAGGAGCUUGCUCCUCUGACGUUAGCGGCGGACGGGUGAGUAACACGUGGAUAACCUACCUAUAAGACUGGGAUAAUUUCGGGAAACCGGAGCUAAUACCGGAUAAUAUAUUGAACCGCACGGUACAAUAGUGAAAUACGGUAUUGCUGUCUCUUAUUGAUGGACCCGCGCCGCAUUAGCUAGUUGGUAAGGUAACGGCUUACCAAGGCAACGAUGCGUAGCCGACCUGAGAGGGUGAUCGGCCACACUGGAACGGAGGCACGGUCCAGACUCCUACGGGAGGCAGCAGUAGGGAAUCUUCCGCAAUGGGCGAAAGCUUGACGGAGCAACGCCGCGUGAGUGAUGAAGGUCUUCGGAUCGUAGAACUCUGUUAUUAGUGAAGAACAAAUGUGUAAGGAACUAUGCACGUCAUGACGGUACUUAAUCAGAAAGCCACGGCUAUCUUGGUG